rnacentral:rRNA from 1 species
UGCAAGUCGAACGAUGAUGCUGGUGCUUGCACUGGUGGAUUAGUGGCGAACGGGUGAGUAACACGUGAGUAACCUGCCCCUGACUUCGGGAUAAGCCCGGGAAACUGGGUCUAAUACCGGAUAUGACUUCCUGCUGCAUGGCAGGGGGUGGAAAGAUUUAUCGGUUGGGGAUGGACUCGCGGCCUAUCAGCUUGUUGGUGAGGUAAUGGCUCACCAAGGCGACGACGGGUAGCCGGCCUGAGAGGGUGACCGGCCACACUGGGACUGAGACACGGCCCAGACUCCUACGGGAGGCAGCAGUGGGGAAUAUUGCACAAUGGGCGAAAGCCUGAUGCAGCGACGCCGCGUGAGGGAUGACGGCCUUCGGGUUGUAAACCUCUUUCAGUAGGGAAGAAGCCCCUUUUGGGGUGACGGUACUUGCAGAAGAAGCGCCGGCUAACUACGUGCCAGCAGCCGCGGUAAUACGUAGGGCGCAAGCGUUAUCCGGAAUUAUUGGGCGUAAAGAGCUCGUAGGCGGUUUGUCGCGUCUGCCGUGAAAGUCCGAGGCUCAACCUCGGAUCUGCGGUGGGUACGGGCAGACUAGAGUGAUGUAGGGGAGACUGGAAUUCCUGGUGUAGCGGUGAAAUGCGCAGAUAUCAGGAGGAACACCGAUGGCGAAGGCAGGUCUCUGGGCAUUUACUGACGCUGAGGAGCGAAAGCAUGGGGAGCGAACAGGAUUAGAUACCCUGGUAGUCCAUGCCGUAAACGUUGGGCACUAGGUGUGGGGGACAUUCCACGUUUUCCGCGCCGUAGCUAACGCAUUAAGUGCCCCGCCUGGGGAGUACGGCCGCAAGGCUAAAACUCAAAGGAAUUGACGGGGGCCCGCACAAGCGGCGGAGCAUGCGGAUUAAUUCGAUGCAACGCGAAGAACCUUACCAAGGCUUGACAUGUUCCAGACCGGGCCAGAGAUGGUCUUUCCCCUUUUGGGGCUGGUUCACAGGUGGUGCAUGGUUGUCGUCAGCUCGUGUCGUGAGAUGUUGGGUUAAGUCCCGCAACGAGCGCAACCCUCGUUCCAUGUUGCCAGCGGGUUAUGCCGGGGACUCAUGGG